AUGGUGAAAUCCCAGAGCUUAACUCUGGAACUGCCAUCAAAACUUUUCAGCUAGAGUAUGAUAGAGGAAAGCAGAAUUUCUAGUGUAGAGGUGAAAUUCGUAGAUAUUAGAAAGAAUACCAAUUGCGAAGGCAGCUUUCUGGAUCAUUACUGACACUGAGGAACGAAAGCAUGGGUAGCGAAGAGGAUUAGAUACCCUCGUAGUCCAUGCCGUAAACGAUGUGUGUUAGACGUUGGAAAUUUAUUUUCAGUGUCGCAGCGAAAGCGAUAAACACACCGCCUGGGGAGUACGACCGCAAGGUUAAAACUCAAAUGAAUUGACGGGGACCCGCACAAGUAGUGGAGCAUGUGGUUUAAUUCGAAGAUACGCGCAGAACCUUACCAACACUUGACAUGUUCGUCGCGACUUUAAGAGAUUAAAGUUUUCGGUUCGGCCGGACGAAACACAGGUGCUGCAUGGCUGUCGUCAGCUCGUGUCGUGAGAUGUUGGGUUAAGUCCCGCAACGAGCGCAACCCUCACUUUUAGUUGCCAUCAUUAAGUUGGGCACUCUGAAAGAACUGCCAGUGAUAAGCUGGAGGAAGGUGGGGAUGACGUCAAGUCCUCAUGGCCCUUACGUGUUGGGCUACACACGUGCUACAAUGGUAUCUACAACAGGAAGCAAGACUGCGAGGUCAAGCAAAUCCUAAAAAGAUACCUCAGUUCGGAUUGCACUCUGCAACUCGAGUGCAUGAAGCUGGAAUUACUAGUAAUCGUGGAUCAGCGUGCCACGGUGAAUGCGUUCCCGGGUCUUGUACACACCGCCCGUCACACCAUGGGAGUUGGUUCUACCUUAAGGCAAGGUUUAAAACCCUUGACCACGGUAUAGUCAGCGACUGGGGUGAAGUCGUA
rnacentral:rRNA from 1 species